ACUGGAAAGUUCAUCUUGUUAAAUUUCCACUUAGAGCAGGGGAUGUGUUAGGAGAUAGCUCAGACUCUGUGGCCAUUAUGACAUCAAAUUCAGACAGAGACAGUCCAAGUGGUAGUCAAGGAGUUUUGUUUAUAGCCUCAUUGAAAAAUGUGAACAUUGGCUGAGCACGGUGGCUCACAACUGUAAUCCCAGCACUUUGGGAGGCUGAGGUGGGUGGAUCAUUUGAGGUCAGGAGUUUGGGACCAGCCUGGCCAACAUGGUUUCAUGGCAUGAUAUGACUCAAUCCACAGACAAAAGCUGCUGAGCCCGGGACAGCUUAUUGGACCAGCCCAUAUGAGAAGCACAAAUGUAUAGAAACAAACUGAACCCAAGGAAAGAUUGGUGAUACUUUGGGAGGGAUGACAGAGGAAGGGGAAACACAUUGUCCAUCCCUGUCCCAGCAAGGAGCCAGCUCCCAUUCAGCAGUCUCUGUGAACAUCUAGGUAGCUUCCCCAUUCUUUCUGUCCAGUUGUGAGCAGCCACCAACUAUGAUUCCCCUCUUCCAGCAGGCUUUGCUUUCACAUCACAAAGCAUCAUCCUGAGAAACAAUUACAGUUAUUUUUAGAGUUCUGUUUCCUUCAUAGGUACCUAUUGUCCUAAUAAAUGGAAUUCCUU